AGCAGGAUAAAAUGCCCAUCUGUCGAGCCAGCCGGAAAAUAGGUUAAUUCACAAGUUUAGAUUUAUCCUGGUUCAACAAAAUGGGGCCUUUCGAUACUAUGGACGAUCUUGGUUCGUGUAACUUAAGUUGAUCCAAGAAAAAUUCUUGUCUUCAGCAAUGAAAAGAGCGACAAGUGUGGCUGAACUUGCCGACAAAGAAACAUCAGUUAUAAAUAUGCCGGUACGGUAAGCUGUUGAUUUAAGUACUAUGAAGGUAAGAGACGACACGACAGCGGUAUGGCUGUUUGGUUUGGCUGUUUGCAAUUGAUGGUAAGUAAAGGUAAUUGCCUUCGUUCCAUAUAUGAGCUUAAUAAUUAAGCGUAUGUUGCAGUGCUAGUGUAUUAUUACAGUUGAAUUCUAGGUUAAUGAUUACAACAACAGGGAAUAUAAAACUCUCGUUUCAGAUAAAGUGCGCCUUUCUGCUUAGGUUUCUUUAAGUUUGCCGUGUUGUCGACAGGCUGUUCGCGAUCGUUCACUUUGUGUUUAUUAAUCUUUAUUUCACUUGAUUUCGAACUUUAAGUGAUCAGCAUGGCUUCUGCAGAGGAGAAUAUUCUUCUCAGUCGUUUACUGGAUCUUUUUCGUGAAGAUCCAGAUAGGAUAACAUCUUUGGUCCAAGCGGGAACUAGCCGUGAGAGUAUUGCAAACAACUCGUCGAGUCCGAGCUCGACCGCAAGCUCUCCUGCAACCGACUCACCUGGGUCACGAUCAAGUGACCCUGAAAUUGAUCUACCUGCAGCGAACUCUGCCACGUUCACUGCUGAUGAGCUGCUGAAGCUGAGAAGCCGCAGGAUGAAGGCAACAGCUGCUAAGCAGACUUUUGCUGUGAGUGAUGAACUGAAGUUGUUUGCACGUGCAAAGGAAAGAAUCGAUUUGUAAACAAUUUUGUAUUUUUUUUUCAGUUUAUUCUAUGAGAAGCCGCAAAGAAAUGCGAAAUUUGGGAGAGUGCCCCGCAUAUUAAAGUCAUCCCGGCGAAAAACAUUGCCAAAUUUGAGAAAAAGGCGACAAAAGAGCUACCACAGCUUGCUGGGCGUUCAAAAGAAAUACUUCGCCACCUGUCUGUCAGUUUGAUUUAUAGAAGAAACCACAUGAACAACACCAAAUACUGGAAGCGAGCACAUCAGAUAGACAAGUACAAGGGAAUGGCAUGCAACAGGCCACAGCCCAAAGAUGGCAAGUCAGUGGUAGAUGUGAUUGAGCAGAGGUUGGAAGGAUCUGGAUUUGUUUUCAAGUCUGCAUAAGUUCAAGAAUAUUUAUUUGUAAUGUUGUAGUGUAUGCCUUUUAAAAUAAAUGAAGCAGUCACUUUUUCUAUUUUGGUACCAUUACCAUUGUAACUUCAAUAUGCCAUACACGUGUACAUACAUGGCAUACAUUCAUGCACAUAUACGUACAUAUACAUACAUGUAAAGCAUGAAGUAGGUUUUCCCUUCAAACCGAUGCAGGAGGCUCUAGGCACAAAUACAGGAAAUACAGUACCGAUCAGAAGAAACCUAACAGGGAACGCUUGACAGAACGCAUUCUGUAUCCGUUCUGUACCCAUUCUGUAUCUGUUCCCUAUCCGUUCCGUAUCCAUUCCGUUCCCGUUCUGUAUCCGUUCUGUAUCCGUUCCAUUCCCAUUCCGUUAGCGUUCCAUUAGUAAGCAUUCUCGAAACUCGUUCAGAAGAAUGAUGUUUCCAACAACCCGUUUGCAAGAAUGCUUUUAAUAAGGGGAAUUAGCGACAGUGAUUUGCAACUUCACGAAAUGGGUAAACUCGCUUUAUGCGAGAAAACAAAUGGUAAACUUACAUUUUCGUGGUGAAAAUGUAAGUCAAAUUACUUGGAAUAUACGGGAUGAAGAUGCCAUAGUAGCUUCAAGACUGGCAGUGAGCCUUUUCCUUAAACAAUACAAAGCAACCGGCAGUCUUUGUGAUCGCCCAAGGAAAGGAAGAAGAGCGAAGCUCUCCAUACGACACUUCACGAGCGUUUCAUUCUUGGGCUACCAGAUCCACUUGAAGCCCGCGUUAACUUUGCAGCGGUAGAUUUUGAGAUGAGUCCGCUGGUCGUAAUUGCAUUUUGCGUUCCAGCACGUGAGAGCAAAGUUUUUCAGUCUGUGGUUACGUGCCUGCUGUCUUUUGCCAUUUGUGAUAAAUUUUGACGGUAUGUGUGACGAAUAUGCUAUAAAGGUCAUCGUUGGAAACAGGUCGAUAUACUGGUAAGUUCGGUUUUUCUUAUUUUAUUGGAAACUUUAAUAGUUAGCAGUUUCUUCUUGUCAUUUUACCAGAAGCUUGAUUUUGCGCCUGACAGUCUGUCUACGUGUUGUUUGCAAUCGCUCAAAAAUGAUAGGGUUGCCUCAGUCCAAUUUUACAUUGAAAAGUCUUGUCGAGUGCAAAUGUUUAUAUUGGACCUUAUUCACCAGUGAAAUGACUCAGAAGUGGAUGUAUUGGAAGGUGACAGAAAGGAUCCAUCAGAACGACACCCGUUGCUCAUUCUCCUAGAUUGGCUCAUCGAGGAUUGCUGUCCAUUAAGCCCUUACACUCAAAAGAAGAUUACAGACCUGGUUUCAGUUUGCACCAAUCUCGAUUGUAUGAGAGUGGAAUUUUUUCAG